AAGCAUAUCAAUAAGCGGAGGAAAAGAAACCAACAGGGAUUGCCCUAGUAACGGCGAGUGAAGCGGCAACAGCUCAAAUUUGAAAUCUGGCCUUCGGGUCCGAGUUGUAAUUUGUAGAGGAUGCUUUUGGCGCGGUGCCUUCCGAGUUCCCUGGAACGGGACGCCUUAGAGGGUGAGAGCCCCGUACGGUUGGACACCAAGCCUCUGUAAAGCUCCUUCGACGAGUCGAGUAGUUUGGGAAUGCUGCUCUAAAUGGGAGGUAAAUUUCUUCUAAAGCUAAAUACCGGCCAGAGACCGAUAGCGCACAAGUAGAGUGAUCGAAAGAUGAAAAGCACUUUGAAAAGAGGGUUAAAUAGCACGUGAAAUUGUUGAAAGGGAAGCGUUUACGGCCAGACCUUUUCCUGGCGGAUCAUCUGGUGUUCUCACCAGUGCACUCCGCCAGGUUUAGGCCAGCAUCGGCUCCCGUAGGGGGAUAAAAGCAGUGGGAAAGUAGCUCCCUCGGGAGUGUUAUAGCCCGCUGCACAAUACCCUUACAGGGGCCGAGGACCGCGCUUUUGCAAGGAUGCUGGCG
rnacentral:rRNA from 1 species